GUUGCCUUUUUAAAAGGUGAAUCGGGAAGAAAGCGAGUUGCCGGCCAAACGAGGCAAGGCGCUUUGCUGCCGCAGAAGCUGUUUGCUUUGGCGGCUGAACUUUGCUAAUCUUGUCUUCGAGUAGCCGCAUAGAAUUUAACUCUCUGACUUCUGAUAACAGAACAACAACAUCCGCUACCAUGAGAGAGUCCUCCUGCUUCGAAAGCAGUAUCUUAGAGACCGCCUUCCUACCCUCCAUUUCCUGUCCUUUCAUCAGUGAGGACCUGUCUUCUUAAUCCACGACUGCUCAACUUUCACAAGAGUCUUUGGUGAAGAAGCUUUUGGAAAGGCCAAAUGUUUGGUGUCCUCUCCAUCCCUCUCUCUACACGCCUGUACAUGCUGUCAGGCAUGGCAGUUGCUGAGCAUCUUGGGAAUUGAAGUUGGAGUGCACAUCUGGAAGUCACCAAGGGAUCAACAUGAUGGAAAGAAAAAAGAGCACCCCAAAUUGAAAUCAAGUGGUACUAAACAAGGAAGUUGAUUAUAGAUGGAAGAGAUUUAUGGGGAUUUCAAUCAGGGAGGCUUAUGGGCGUAACACAUGAAGACGACUUGACUUGGUGGUUGUGGAUAAUCUUGUUCCAUGUCCAGUUUUCACACAUAUGGAAUAAAUGGAAU